GGUUGUAACUUAGUUGGUAGAGUAUUGGCCUAGCAUACACAAAGCCCUGGGUUUGAGACCCAGCACCA
rnacentral:tRNA from 1 species